UACACCUAUUUCGUCGUUGCCAAGAUACAAGAAUAUAGUAAUAAAAAAGACAUGGCGACUCUGUGGAGGUUAAUAAAAGAUGCUCCGACAGUUCUAUUAGAAAUACAUUAUCGAAUGAGAAUGGCAGAAGAGGCCAGGAUUUUGGAGCACAAAAAUGCAAUAAAAAUACAGUCUUGGUUUAGGGGAGAAAAAGUCCGAGCAUAUAUAAGGCAUCUACAUCAUUGUGCUUUGGUUAUACAGCGAAGUUAUAGAGCCCAUGUUGACAGGGCAAUAUAUAGAGAAAAAGUGAAGAUUCGAUUACAACAAAUGAGACAAAAUCAUUUUAAUUUAAUGGCUACCAAGAUUCAAACCCAGUGGAGAGGUUUUUUUGUCAGAAAAUACAUUUUCAAUUAUUAUGCACGUAAGAGAUACCUUUUGGCACUGAUGGAAAGAAAUGAGAUUGUUAGAAAAGAGCUUGAUGAAAUAGCAAUUCAACGACAGGAUGCGAUUAGGAAGAAAAAAGAAGAAACUGCCAAGAGGUUUAAAGAGGAAGAAGAUAGGAGGCACCAUUACUUGAUAAGCACUAGCGUACGUUCAGGGAUUUAUAGCUCUCCGGUUAAGAAACCCCAUGUUACGCAAAGAGAACUAGAACUGAGGCAAGCGAAGCCUUUUAGCAAAGAGGAACGAUACGCAUUAGCGAAAGAAAAGCUCGAAAGGUCCUUAAAAUCCGGCUUUGUUGACACGUCAUCAACACUGGAAAGAUAUACGUGUAUGCAGUCAUCACCAGAACCACUUCCACCAAUACCAAGCUUCAAAGUACAGGGGCCGUUCAGAGAUCCAGCUGCGGUUGCAACACAAAGAUUCAAACAACUCGAACCAACUCUAAGAGUAGCAACAUCGUACACAUCAGUUGAGGAGUCACGGGCACAACUUAAAGCAAAAGAAUGGACAAGGACCGUUGUUGAAGAUAAAUUCUUGCCAUUCACCAAACAGAAAGAAAAAUAUGAGCCUAUGCUGGACUCAAGUCGACCUUUUGACAGGCCCGAGUAUGGAACAAAGCAUUUUAGAGAAGAGGAUAGAAGGAAAAGGAUCACCGAGAAGAUAAACGCAAAUUACCCAUUCUGGAGAUCGAGCAGAUAACAUCAAGGCGUUGAAGUGGCAAUUAUAAAUUAAUGCUCUAGUUAAUUAAAAAAUCUUUAAAAUAAGUAAUGAUUAAAAAUCUAGGAUAGUUUGCUAAAAUCUGAGAAAAUCUGAUGAAGCCUGUUUAGAUUUUCAAUCUUUCGGAAUAAGUUGAUGCCUGCUUCAAUGCUAAUAGCCAGGUUAUUGCAAUGCAAAGAAAUACAGACAUAGUUUAAAAUGAGAAACUCUAAUUCUUGGAACAUGGUCAGUCUUAUAUAAGUUUUGCCCCAAUACCCUUUUAUGAUAUGCAUCACGUGACUUCCAGUUCUACUGCCGAGAAGACUGCAACAAAAAUUCAACGUAAGAAUGAAAGAAGUUAGUAAAAAUACUAAGAAGCUAAUCUAAAGCUGUAUUCAAUUGUUUAUCCGAGGUAAGCUGUUAGAAAAAUUAAAUAAACAAAUAGUUAAGAUAAAGAUUAACUCAAAGCGAUGACAUUAGUACCAUUAUAAUCCUUGUAUGUUGCUUUAAAACAUCUAAUAAGAUAGAAAAUUGCUAAUAAUUGUAAAGAUAGGUAUGAACCUAGAGCAAGUUUAUCAAUGAAGAACCACUUGCAAAUCAACUAUUAAAGCAAUAUUAAGUAUAAAAGCUAAUAUUAAAUCAAAAAGUUAGUAAAUUACAUUCAAAUCAAAGUAAGGUGCAGAUUGUCCAACAACGUUAGAGAUGUUAUCGAUUUUUAGCCAUUCCAAAGGCUUGUCUCGCCGAUUCCUGUUUUCGAAAAGUUGGGAAAAACGUACUGAGGCGUGCUGAACUGCUGAAUCCACCUUUUUCAACACGAUUACUGAAGCCAUUUUACUUCAUAAUUGUUAGUUUACGUAUUGUUGUACAUUUUAAUGGUUCUUGUUUGCUCUCGCAUCUUUUAGAAUAUCGAAUAUCACAGGCUGCUGUAUUUUUAAAUUUUGAUUUCAGAGUUCAGAUUUUGGCCACUGAGUUAAAAAAUUAUAUCCAGACGUAACAAAGUCUGUCUGAAUUAGAUUUGUUCUUUCAAUUAUUGUUAGUUUUUUGGAAAAAAAUUCGAUUGUUUUUCCAAACACCCAAUUGUCACUUAAAUCUUGCCUAAUUCAGUGCUCUUUGAUCAUACAGAAAAAUUCAGCUGCCAAUUUUGCAUAAAGGAAUUGUUUGAAGCAACCGAUGAGAACAUAAGUGUUUUCUUAGCUUUAGAACUGCAAGGUAGCGCAAUGAAUAUAGAUUUAGACGGUAGUAUAAUGUAUAAAAUGUCUUGAAAAUCAAAUUAAUCUUUAUGUCGUGCUACUCAAGGGGGGGGGGUUGAAGUAGGGGGGGGGGAAUAAUAGAAUAAGGCUCUUUGAAGUCUGGGAUUAAAGAAGGUUCAACUGGCCCUAGCAGAUUGCAGUGGGCCUGAGUCAGGGUAAAAGACGCCACUAGGCACCGAUUUCUUGUGAAAUGCCCAACAAACCAAUGAAAAGUGACUACUUUUACGAUUUAAGAUUGUGCAUCUUAAACAGAGAUAUAAUUUUGUGUAGAGAUGCAAGUUUUGCUUCUCGCUUUGUGUAGAGAUGCAAGUUUCGGAAUUACACGAGGAAAAUCUUUUUUUUUUUAAUUUUAACAAAGUAUGAUUCUCCGGACAAACCUUCAUCAGAAAACAAUUAAUGUUUGGUGUGGUUUGAUUGAGGCACUUCUUUCUUUUUUGGCCUUCCUCACGAUCUUUGACCAUGUGAUCCCCAUGUUUCUCAGGGCUCUGAAGCACUUCUGGUUUUUUUAUAGCAAGAAGCUUUUGGAAGUGGUUUAAUCGCUCUGUUAUAUCAUAGAUAAUUUAAUGUAAAUAGCAAAACUGUUCCUGGGGUAUUGAAUGUCAAUAUAUUUCAUGUUGAUUUUUAA